ensembl:rRNA 5S_rRNA 5S ribosomal RNA
AUCUAAGGCCAUAGCACCCUGAACGCGCCCUAUCUCAUCUGAUCUCGGAAGCUAAGCAGGGUUGGGCCUGGUUAGUACUUGGGUGGGAGACCACCUGGGCAUACCGGGUGCUGUAGGCU